rnacentral:rRNA from 1 species
UCCCUAGUAGCGGCGAGCGAAGCGGGAAGAGCUCAAAUUUAUAAUCUGGCACCUUCGGUGUCCGAGUUGUAAUCUCUAGAAAUGUUUUCCGCGUUGGACCGCACACAAGUCUGUUGGAAUACAGCGGCAUAGUGGUGAGACCCCCGUAUAUGGUGCGGACGCCCAGCGCUUUGUGAUACAUUUUCGAAGAGUCGAGUUGUUUGGGAAUGCAGCUCAAAUUGGGUGGUAAAUUCCAUCUAAAGCUAAAUAUUGGCGAGAGACCGAUAGCGAACAAGUACCGUGAGGGAAAGAUGAAAAGCACUUUGGAAAGAGAGUUAACAGUACGUGAAAUUGUUGGAAGGGAAACGCUUGAAGUCAGACUUGCUUGCCGAGCAAUCGGUUUGCAGGCCAGCAUCAGUUUUCCGGGAUGGAUAAUGGUAGAGAGAAGGUAGCAGUUUCGGCUGUGUUAUAGCUCUCUGCUGGAUACAUCUUGGGGGACUGAGGAACGCAGUGUGCCUUUGGCGGGGGUUUCGACCUCUUCACACUUAGGAUGCUGGUGGAAUGGCUUUAAACGACCCGUCUUAA